rnacentral:rRNA from 1 species
GACGUAGGGCGCGAGCGUUGUCCGGAAUUAUUGGGCGUAAAGAGCUCGUAGGCGGCUUGUCGCGUCGACUGUGAAAACCCGCGGCUCAACCGCGGGCCUGCAGCCGAUACGGGCAGGCUAGAGUUCGGUAGGGGAGACUGGAAUUCCUGGUGUAGCGGUGAAAUGCGCAGAUAUCAGGAGGAACACCGGUGGCGAAGGCGGCAUCCUGGACCGGCAUUGACGCUGAGGAGCGAAAGCCAGGGGAGCAAACGGG